rnacentral:rRNA from 1 species
GGCAGUAAUUUCUCGCAACUUGCUCCACCGGCAAAGAGGAGUGGCGAACGGGUGAGUAACACUGUGGGUAACCUGCCCAUCAGAAGGGGAUAACACUUGGAAACAGGUGCUAAUACCGUAUAACAAUCGAAACCGCAUGGUUUUGAUUUGAAAGGCGCUUUCGGGUGUCGCUGAUGGAUGGACCCGCGGUGCAUUAGCUAGUUGGUGAGGUAACGGCUCACCAAGGCCACGAUGCAUAGCCGACCUGAGAGGGUGAUCGGCCACAUUGGGACUGAGACACGGCCCAAACUCCUACGGGAGGCAGCAGUAGGGAAUCUUCGGCAAUGGACGAAAGUCUGACCGAGCAACGCCGCGUGAGUGAAGAAGGUUUUCGGAUCGUAAAACUCUGUUGUUAGAGAAGAACAAGGAUGAGAGUAACUGUUCAUCCCUUGACGGUAUCUAACCAGAAAGCCACGGCUAACUACGUGCCAGCAGCCGCGGUAAUACGUAGGUGGCAAGCGUUGUCCGGAUUUAUUGGGCGUAAACGAGCGCAGGCGGUUCCUUAAGUCUGAAU